rnacentral:rRNA from 1 species
GACGACGCUGGCGGCGUGGAUUAGGCAUGCAAGUCGAACGGUAUCAUCCUUCGGGGGUGAGAGAGUGGCGAACUGGUGAGUAACACGUAGGUUAUCUACCCUCAAGACGGGGACAACCCAGGGAAACUUGGGCUAAUACCGGAUGUGAGCAACUUUUAGUUGUUUGAAAGGUAGCGUAAGCUGUCGCUUGGGGAUGAGCCUGCGUCCUAUUAGUUAGUUGGUGAGGUAACGGCUCACCUAGGCAAUGAUAGGUAGGCGGCCUUAACGGGUGGUCGCCCACACUGGGAUUGAGAUACGGCCCAGACUCCUACGGGAGGCAGCAGUCGAGAAUAGUCUACAAUGGUCGGAAGACUGAUAGUGCGACGCCGCGUGAACGAUGAAUCCCUUCGGGGUGUAAAGUUCUUUUAUAUGUGAGCAGUGCUUCUUAUAUUAACAGUAUGGGGAGAGAGAUAUUAGCAUAUGAAUAAGCAACGGCUAACUCCGUG